rnacentral:tRNA from 1 species
UGGCUCAGUGUAGAGUGCUUGCCUUGCAUGCAUGAGGCCCUGGGUUCAAUUCCCCAG